UGCUAGUUGAUAUCUGACGGCUAGCCUGCUGGUCGGGUUUUCAGUUGUACUGGGUUUCUAAAUGUGUUUUGCCUUGGGUCUUGGCACUAGGGAUUGUAACAUCUCAUCCUGUGCAACAAUGAAUUCCAGUAGAGUUGUAGACUCGUUUUAUUCAGCAACUGCAUAUCUCUGGACCAGCAGAACCAUGCAGUCUGAUGUCAUUCUACUGUGCAACAUAACAAUAACAGCAAAAUGUCUCCUGUGUUCUGUUUUCCCCCUCAUGGAAACAGGGCAGUGGGAGGAGUGAGAGCACACAACCUGGUUUGACUUGAGGGAUGGCAGCAUUCCAGCACUUCUUCCCUGCUUUACCUUUUCUUUACUCCUGGAUAACAAAGUCACCCACAGAAGUCUUCUCCAAUCCACUCAUGGGCCGGUGUGAAAGAGUAGUGUUAGGGAUGACACGCCACUCACCGGCACCUGUAGGGCAGCCGCAUCAUGAGCUGCUAAUGCAGACAGGUUUAUAUAGCCCGCUGUACGGUGUGUCAGUCUCUCACCUCUACCAAAGCGUAUGGCUGGCAUGCAGCACUGAGGCAUUGGAACCUGGUCGGUAGGUGCUGUGACUUCUGUCCCCAGGUAUGUAACUCUAUGAAAUUUUGAGGAUGUUUAUGGUGUGCGGUUUUAAUGAUGAUCUGUUGCAGGUCGGCGUGUUGGGCUGGCGUGUGCAGGAUUUCUUCCUGUAGGCUGUCGCUGCUGCUAUAGCUGCUUGCGGGGCUAGUGUUCUAACAGCGUGCCUCGCGGCUGCUGGUUGCCCUGCCUUGCCCCUUGCCUCUUGCUACUUUUUUAAAAAAAAUUUUUUAUCUCUUACUAUAUACUUGCUUCGUGUCCUCUGAUUAGUAGUGGUAGUACGGCCGCUCUGAAAAUUCACAAACCCUAUAAAUGAAGUGAUUACGGUAAUUUUAGUAAGUUCAGCCCGACUUGGACUUGAUAGGUGAUGGUGUCUAUUGCCUUUGAGAGGAUCUGCCAAACUUUUGCAUGUUUUUGCAUUGUUCUUCUCUUUUGUUUGUUUUGAGUUUGCAGUUUUGUUGAUCGUUUGGUUUGGAGGCCAGACCUCCUAACCAACGGUGGUGUUACCACUCUCUAUCUACCAGAUCCUUAGGGUGUAACUCUUGAUGAUUACAUGGUGGUUCUUUUUUUGUUGUUGUUUAAAAUAAGAUAGGACUAUAUAAAUGUUUUAUAGGACUAACUUAAAAAAGAUUUUAUUGUGAAGAAUGUGAAAUAAAUUACUUUUUCAUUACAUCGUGCCUGUAUGCAUUUGUGUAAUUACCUGUGCAUGGGUUGUUUUGGGAAACCCUUAAAGAGGAUUUAAUGGUUAAGUUAUUCUUUAGGUGAGAGUCCUGAAGUGGCGUUGUCGGUUAAAUUUGAGAUUCUUUAGAUCUGCCACUCGCAGUCUUUUAUUGCCACAAAGAAAUUAAA